rnacentral:rRNA from 1 species
UACGUAGGGGGCAAGCGUUGUCCGGAAUCAUUGGGCGUAAAGCGCGUGUAGGCGGCUGACUAAGUCCGCUCUGAAAGCCCGGGGCUUAACCCCGGAAUUGCGCCUGAAACUACAUGGCUAGAGCAUUGGAGAGGGUAGCGGAAUUCACGGUGUAGCAGUGAAAUGCGUAGAUAUCGUGAGGAACACCAGAGGCGAAGGCGGCUACCUGGACAAUUGCUGACGCUCAGGCACGAAAGCGUGGGGAGCAAAAGGG